rnacentral:rRNA from 1 species
UACGAAGGGGGCUAGCGUUGCUCGGAAUCACUGGGCGUAAAGGGCGCGUAGGCGGAUCUUUAAGUCGGGGGUGAAAGCCCAGGGCUCAACCCUGGAAUUGCCUUCGAUACUGGAGAUCUUGAGACCGGAAGAGGUAAGUGGAACUGCGAGUGUAGAGGUGAAAUUCGUAGAUAUUCGGAAGAACACCAGUGGCGAAGGCGGCUCACUGGUCCGGUACUGACGCUGAGGUGCGAAAGCGUGGGGAGCAAACAGG